ensembl:lncRNA
CAUUCAGGCAACGAACCAGUUGCUGCUUCGGACGUCACAUUUCACGUGACUUUUUUUGCACUGAAGCAAGCUUCGAAGCAAUUGGGAGUUGUAGAUCAGGGUUUGAAGCACGUACCGAAGCUUCAGUGUCACACUGCCAUCACUACCGAUCAGUGUGUUCUUUCUGAUUAGCUCUUAAUUGAGAUCACCUGUCACGCACCCCUUUAUUAAGGGUGAACACAAUAGGUUUGGUUAACUUUUCGCAUCGGCCUGUCAAUCGAGGUUGAGUUUAGUGAGGGUUGAAAGUUUUCGAUCUAGAUUGCAGAUCACUAUAAUCACUUUAUAAAAACUGAAAGUAUGCGUUGUUGCGUGUUUGUUUUUGUGGGCGUUUGACUGAACAGCCCAGACAAAUAUUGCUACCAACAUGGCACUUCGAAACAGACCACCGCAGUGUUAGGUGACUGACAAGAUCUAUGGGGGGGCCCCCUUUGGGCCCCCCCAUACCAACCUAGUCUUCAAAGGAAUCUAGUGCCAUGGGAGUCCAGUGUCUUCAAAACAUCCUCGGAAUACAUGUGUAUGAAUGGUCCACCGAAGGGUUGAUCUGGAAGCCACCACGGUCCACGCAGUAAUCUGCUGCGUGGGCCGUAGUGGCUUCCAGAGCCAUCUUUCGGUCUUGGUCAGGAUUUGUUAGUUGCCCUUCAAUGUAGCAGGCUACGGGUUUCUGAAGAAGCCUGCUUUACGUAGCAUUGGAGUACAAAUAUUGUGCAAAAUGCUCAUGUAAUUGCACUAGCACUGGUAACCUGAAGAUUAGCUUAGUUUAACGUCAUUCGGUGCUGUCUGUCAAAUGUGUGGCUUACUUUAAGGCCCUCUGGUAAACCACGUUGGAACACCCCUGGACAAGGUGAUUGGUCACUGGGUGUGUGCUAAAGUUUUGUUCCAUUUUUCACUAGUUGGUUAAGGUUUGGUAGAAUUGUUUGGAUGCUAGCGACGUGAUGGCGUAUGUACAAGAGCCUACCGUGGCCAGGCCACAGUUGCGACGGCUACGGCCAGAUGGCCUAGUGUGAGUGCAACCUUGAGUGCAUUUGUAUACUGUUUACCAUUGGAUGUUUAUGCAAUUUGGCUUAAUUCAUCCGCUGUAAAGCUGCAUUUGACUAUUCCAGGGUCGUUUUGUACAGGCUUUCAAUUGACCAUGUUGACUAGUUUGUGGGAAGUUUUUUUUUUUUAUACCCUUGCUUACAAUCCAACGGUUGCGACCACUUAUGCAACUGGGCUGUGAACCUUGCAAUUCUAGUUGCAUAUUUGUACACGCAAGCUUGUCCAUUUCUAUCGCCAUCACUAUAGCUUCAGCAUUUCCUUGUAGGCCAUUAGCUGACUUGUGUAUUGGAGCGAUGAUUUGGGUCAUGCUGCAAAUUUACUUUUUGUAGUUGCUCCAUAUUUAGUUCUUUGACAGCCUCACCUGCUAGAAAAGUCUAUUCAAAUCGGCUAAAUAUAAUGAACUAAAUUAAUAGCCAUGAAAUGUUGUCACUCAUACUAAUGGCAAAUACCCCCUUUCAGUUGGUGGUUCAACACUGAUGUCUCUCUAGGCUUGAGGGAGAGCUCACAAGUAAAUUACACGAAUGUCCUGGAGCAAUUGGGAAUACACUUUUAUUUAGUCUACCUGACCAGGGACAUCUUGAACUAUAGGUCACCUAACCCAAACUUUUCACUCUUGUUAGGUUGUCCUUUUCUCUUGCUUUAACCCGAAAGGGCUGAAAAUAUCAACAUUUCAGGUAUUCUGUUUGGAUAAUGUGCAAAACUUGUGGCUUCACUAAUAAAAAAAAAUUAACGAAUGUAUUUUUCUUAAUGUGGUUAAACUAUUUAAAGAUUUGUAUGCAAAAUAUUUCUGCUCAAUUUGUGGUCAAUGAAACUCAAAUUUUUUAAUUUGAUAAAACACAACUAUGGGUUAAGGGUAUUUGCUUUGGGCAUCUUUUGAUAUUUUUAGAAUCUAGCUCCAUUGCCGUUAGAAAUGGUGUCUCCCAGUACUGCAAAGUGCUUCCACAAGUUUAAAAAAAGAAUGGGCAGAAAAGGAACUGCCAACUAAAUCUAUUUAACAUGGGUAGAAAGUUUCCAUUGAAGCUCUUGGCUGCUGGUUCCCAACACAGCUCCACUGUUAGCCUGUGACCUUGCGUUUAACUUUUUUGGACUUUUGGUGACUUUCACAAAAGAGAAAUGAACUGGUUAAUACAAUAAACAAGACAGUUGAAACUUCAGCUACAUUUUUUAUCUAUUUGUACUGCCUUUGAUUUCAACCCGUGACAUGUUUGUCAGGUGAUAACUAUGUACCUGUGACCGGAUAUCAUGGUGCCAUUUUGAACUGUGUGUGGAUAUUGCAUUAAAUCCAUAUGCUUGAAACUUUUCAAUAAUGCAUAUCAACGAAACGAUGGAAUGAAAUGAAUAGUUCAAGCAAUUUGUGGGACUUGGCUGCUUUUACAUUACUCAUUUUGGGGGUUAUUUCAGUCUCUCCAACCUGCAGGUUGUGCGAAGAAUCAUGUGAAUGGGAAUAUUCUAUAAAUGUCUUGAUAUCGUCUUUCGUCUCAACACUUCUGCUGCAGCCGCUUAAAGUCUCACUCCGAGAACCUUAAAAUAUGAAUCAAUCCAUUAAAAGUAUGAAAAUAUCUUCCCGGUGGCGUAAAGGGGCAUACAAGGUGUGCCACACAUGAUCAUAUUUGAAUAUGUUUCGGGGU